rnacentral:lncRNA from 1 species
UUCAAUUUUUUGUUAUGAGUUUUUAAAGAAAUGUGCAGCAAUGGCAAUGUGGAAAAAAAACACACACAGAACCUUUGGAAAGGAAAGGGCGGGGGGGUUAACUCACAGAAACUGAAAUGCACUACUUGUUUUGGGCAGGCACAGAGAAGUUGAGGAACACUGUGUAGGUGGGCCCAAAAAAUCUAUCAUCUAGGACUGGGACUAGAGAGUUCAGAGCUAAAGUCUUUCUGUCCUGCCUGAAAUGCCACUACCACUCAUGCUAAACAGGGCAGUUUUAUUCUACUCUCCCAUACAUUUAAUAGUCAAAGAAAUAUUAUCAUCGGGUUGGUGCAGAAAGCCAGAGAUUAUACUAGUUAUGUGUGUGACAGAGGGUGUAUAAGGAGAAGUGAUGAGAAAAUGAUGUCAAAAGUGAUUAGCUAUCUUCUAAAGAGUGAUGAUUGCAAUGUCAACAAAAUUCUCAUCCUGAGAAACAGCUAUACCUCCAUACCUAAUUACAAAACUGAGUCAAGUAGAACAAUCAAGUAAUAUACCUUUAUUCAUUUAUUCAUCCAUUCAUGUAUUCAUCCUACAAAUGUUUAUUGAGAACAACCUGUGUUCAAGAUAUAUUCCUAGCACUGCAGCUAUAAUCUUGAAUGAGAUGAGGACCUUGCCUUCAUGAAGCUGAUAUUCAGGUGAUAUACAAUAAAUAAGUAAACAAAUAAAUACACAAUAUAUUUCAAGAAGUGAUAAGAUUAGAAAGAAAUAUGAAGGAGGAAAGGGGGCAGAUGUUGAUAACAUGUGUUGGGGGAGGUGGGCACUCUUUCCUAUUGGGUGAUAUGUAAAGGCCAACCUGAGGAAGUGAAAUCUGAAGAGAAACAUAAAGGAAGUUAGGUGGUGAACCUUGUGAAGAUCUUAGAAAGAAUUUUCCAGAAAAAGAAUGGCAAAUAUAAAGGACUUGAAGUAGAAAUAAGCUUAUUUUCUGGCAUUAAAGCAAAAAAGGUCACUGUUGCUAGUCAGAGAAUGAAAGGAAGACAUGGUAGAAAUUAAGCAAGUGCUAGAUCAUACUAGGUUUCACAAGCUGUGGUAAUGACUUUGACUUUUGUACUGAAUGUGAUGGAAAACCAUUAGAGAUUUCUCUGUAGAGGAGAGAUAUGAACUGGUUUAAAAUUUUAAACCAAGGAUUCUGAUCUGACCAAAUAGAAGGCUGAAUAGUGACAUCAUUUGCUGAGGUGAGGAAAACCAGAAAGGAACAGGCAGAAAGGAGAAAGAAGGUAUCUAAAGUAAAUGGCCUUAUGUAUAAUCCUGAAUUAUAAGUCAUUGCAAAAGAAUCAGGCUUGUGGCUACUUCUCUGACAGAGCCAAACUCUCCAAUUCAAUUAUUCUGAGCAAAACAAACAAGGAGGGGGACCCUCUUACGGAUUAAAGACCUCUUUGUGAUAUGACUGGCCCAAUUCAAUUGCCUAAGCAUCACGUAGAAACAAUAGUUCAAUACUUCAAAGGAAAGUUUCAGAAAGGUGAUGAAAUUUAAGCUGGGCUUUAAAGGCUACAUCAAAUUUGACAAAUGGAAUUGUGAGGAAAGCACAUUAGAAGUAAAGAGUGAACCCACAAAAACAAGAGAACAUCAUGUUUCUAGAGGCUGCCUGCAUUCCUUGGCUAAUGACUUUGCAUCACUCUGACGUCUUGCUCCCAUGGUCGUAUCACCUACUACUGGCCCUGAUCUCACUACUUGUUAUAUGGAACAAAGGGAUAAGGAAGUGACUUGCCUAAGUCACUGAGGAACCUAAUAUUGAGAUUAGCACUCAAUGAUUCCUGGCUCUCAGAAUGUGUGCUGCUACCACCAGGCCACACUCUUCCCUCCAGAGAGAAGAUGUGUCAGCACGGAAUUGUGCUGAAGCAAAGAUGUGAAAUAGAAUGAUUACAUAUCUACCUAGUGGGAAGAUCUGGGGAAGAAUCUAUCAGUGCUGGCAGAGAAGCAAACCAUACGACAUCACUCAUCCCCAGAAAGUGAAGUUAAGGGAAAUAAAAAACAAUCUACACCAUUUAGAAAACACAGCCACCCCAUACCCUUGGAAAAAAUACACUAAAAUAUCUUCAUCUGAUUUGACCUCUAAUAACAUGAAUAAUUGUCUUAUAACUCACUUUCUUACCUCUUGAUUAUUCUACAGAUCCGGCACAUAUGAGCAAAAUCUGAUGAAAUUCACUCAUUUAAUUUGAAGAUUUUAAUUAUGUAGAAAAAGUAGGUUCGCAUUCUUUCUUAUUAAUAGAGUUCAAAAGACUUAAGGCCUAGAGUCUAG